rnacentral:tRNA from 1 species
GGUGAGGUGUCCGGAGUGGCUGAAGGAGCACGCACGGAAAGUGUGUAUACGGCAACGUAUCGGGGGUUCAGAAUCCCCCCUCACCGCCA